GACUCUUGGGUCUGAAGAAGGCACCAGCCCCUGCUAAAUUCUGAGCAUUGACACCAGUGGAAGCCUCAUCCUCAGACUUGGAAGAAGAAGGAAAUGGACUUCGGGUGAGCCUGCUCCUCCUCCACCUCGCCCUGCGCCCAGCAGUGAGAGGACACCAGAGCCCCGUCCAGCACUGCUGACAGAAGAGCAGAAGGCAGUGAUUGCCAUGGCAACGCAUUAAGAGAUGCGGAGCCACCUCCAGUUUUAGCAUCUGGAAAGGGGUCAAGUCUUUGGGGCAUAGAGUGGGAAGGGAAAUUCACUCCCCCAGAGUCUUCAUAGCUAACAAAGCCAUGGCACAGUGCAUGUUACAAAGCCCUUUCACACAAGAAAACUAGGAAGUGGUAUCCCCAUUUUACAGAUCAGAAAACUAGGGUGGGAAUCUCCUGCCAAGCCAGUCAGUGGCAGAGCUAGUGUUUGAAUCCAGCCUUCCUGAUUUCAAAGUCGAUACUCUUGCUUCUCUAAUAGUUGCCUGUCUUGGGUAAAUGACAGACAAGGACCCAGAGACCCCAGAGUCCUGCUGGUGUGAGGGUUUGGGAGCACAUGUGUUGGCCCACUCUACUUGACACAAUCCAUGGCCCACUACACUUGGCACCUAUCUGGCAAGGCUCACACCUGCACAGAUACACAAGCAGAAAAGCUUCCAAAAUUGUUCAUGCAUGCAUGCAUGUUGGACAUGUAGACACAUCCAAAGGAAGUGUACACACAAACAGCCUCACAUGCACACACGGAUGCCUGAACACACAUAUUCACCAAUAUAGACACAUAUGUCUGCAAACACAUACGCAGGCACACACUGGUAUAUACAUGGAAGCAGAUGUAAAAUUAAUUGUCUUCCUGGUCCUGAGUCAUCACCCCUCCACAUACCCACUUCUUUUGACAUAUGACUUUGCAAUUCCUCUCUUCUGAGAGGGAAGAUCUAUUUCCCCAUCCACUGAAUCCAGGCUUGGCAGUGUAACUUGCUCUAACCAAUGCAGUAUUAGCAAAUAUGAUGCAAGCAGAACCUUGAAAAAGUGCUUGUGUGGUUCUGCUUCUGUCUCUUGGUCCUUGCCAUCACUGUGAGAACAUACUUGGGAUGUAAAGGAGGAGACACCUGGUGCAGAGGCAAGGCACCUCAUUUGCCCCAGCUGAGGCCAUCCUAGAUCAGACAGCCCAUGGCCAACCACCAGAAGUGGGAAAUGAGGCUGGGCGCAGUGGCUCAUGCCUGUAAUCCCAGCAUUUUGGGAGCCCGAGGUGGGCGGAUCACAAGGUCAAGAGAUCAAGACCAUCCUGGCCAACAUGGUGAAACCCCGUCUCUACUAAAAAUACAAAAAUUAGCUGGGUGUGGUGGCGUGUGCCUGUAGUCCCAGCUACUCAGGAGGCUGAGGCAGGAGAAUCGCUUGAACCCGGGAAGUGGAGGUUGUAG
ensembl:lncRNA novel transcript